UGCUGUGAUUCAUUUUGCUGGCUUAAAGCUGUUGGUGAGAGUGUUGCUCAUCCAUUUCGGUAUUUUGACAAUAAUUUGAUUGGAUCAAUUACUUUGUAUCAAACAAUGGCCAAGUAUAAUUGUAAGAAGGUUUGUCAUUUCUCCACUUAAAUAUGUUUCAUACUUUCAUAUAUGUUUUAGAAUACUGCCAUAGGAUAAUCUCGAUGGCCAAACAUUCUUCAGUGUUACAAGUGAAGACAUAUUCUGUCUAAGAAGAGUUAAGUUUUAGGUUCUUUGCACCUUUAUUGUCAGCACAAAUGUAAAAUCAGCUUUUAGUUCUUUUUCUGCUUAUUUUACAUAAGAAACUAAUUCUUUGGUUUUGUAGUUGGGUUUUUCUUUGUCCGCAAAUCUUAUGGGCGACCUGAAAAAAUCAGAAGAGUCGAGAAUUUUGAGCUGAAAGUUACGAACCCAUAUGGGCGCAAUAUUGCACGGGAUAUUCAAAAGGCAGAUUCAGACUGGCAAGUCAUUUUGUUAAGAUAUUCCAAUCCUGUCGAGGUUCAUGAGAGUGAUAAACUCGGUGAAGAUUCCAAAGGCAUUCCUAACAAUCUUCUGCCUUAUAUACAACAAGUUGUUGUCGGAAGAUUAAAUGAGUUUUAAGUUUUUAUUGUUUUAAGUUUCAGGUUUUAGAAAUUCAGGUGGUAACAGCACAUGUGCUGAUCGAGGAGGAAGGUCAGGUCACAUGGAAAUUAUAGAUGAGGACAGAUCAAACGAAAGAAGCAGUACCAGCACCACCGGGGAUACUAUUCAGCAAUGACAAUCUCCAGAAAGUUGAAGUCAUUUGAACUGUUGUUUUACUACUUACACACUUAAACUUCUCGGAAGCUCCAGGUAGAUUGAUCAGAACUAUGUGCCCCCUCUCCUAUAGAACUUGCAUGCAGAAUUAAUUAUACGACGUCCUUUGCAACUUGAAUUUUUGCAGCUUCUUGAAUAACAUCUUU